ACAGGGAGCUCAAAAGGAGGAGCUGCCUCAUUUCUUAAAAAUCAAUCUUGAAAAUCUCUUCCUUUUCCUUCUCUCUACUCUGUAUUUACUGUCAAGAAUUCUGGAGAAGCAACCCCCUUUCUCUCCCCACCCCCCAUAUGGUUUGGAAACCUAGAAAUGAGAUGCUUUGGACCUGAAAUGCUCUAUCUGAAGCCACACUACAUUUUGGGAGUGUUCAGACCUGGACCUGAACUUAGUGACUUCGGCCCAACUCUAAGCAGCUCACUUUGCAAUAUGAAGGAAAACAUCAGUGCAAUGGCUCAGGGACUAUACCACUGAAUCCAUUCUUCUGCUGCUGCUCACUCUUAGCCCUCUCAAGGAAGCUGGGUAGAGUUGAGUCAUGUAUCAUUUAACAGUUUUUGUUUCUAAUCCAGUUUGACACCGUAGAUGCUCGGCAUACAUUUGCUGUGAGUGCAGAAAGUAAAGGUCAAGAAAGCUACGUGUUCCUGCUCCUGUGCGCUAAUGAGCCACAUGCACGACAGAGGGUGGUUUUGCAAUCGCUUCGGAGAUAGUAGCCUGCACGAUUAAGAGGCUCACACUGUUCUUUGGAAAAUUUAAAAUGCUGAAAUCCUGAUUUAGCCUCGGAGAGCAUAGUUUUUUACAAACCAUCAAGAGAACAAAAAUUAUAUGCAUC